AUUGAACGCUGGCAGCAGGCUUAACACAUGCAAGUCGAGCGGGGGAAGGUAGCUUGCUACCGGACCUAGCGGCGGACGGGUGAGUAAUGCUUAGGAAUCUGCCUAUUAGUGGGGGACAACAUCUCGAAAGGGAUGCUAAUACCGCAUACGUCCUACGGGAGAAAGCAGGGGAUCUUCGGACCUUGCGCUAAUAGAUGAGCCUAAGUCGGAUUAGCUAGUUGGUGGGGUAAAGGCCUACCAAGGCGACGAUCUGUAGCGGGUCUGAGAGGAUGAUCCGCCACACUGGGACUGAGACACGGCCCAGACUCCUACGGGAGGCAGCAGUGGGGAAUAUUGGACAAUGGGGGGAACCCUAAUCCAGCCAUGCCGCGUGUGUGAAGAAGGCCUUAUGGUUGUAAAGCACUUUAAGCGAGGAGGAGGCUACUUUAGUUAAUACCUAGAGAUAGUGGACGUUACUCGCAGAAUAAGCACCGGCUAACUCUGUGCCAGCCGCCGCAGUAA
rnacentral:rRNA from 1 species